GAUGAGAACGUAGCGAAAUGCGAUAAGUAAUGUGAAUUGCAGAAUUCAGUGAAUCAUCGAGUCUUUGAACGCACAUUGCGCCCCCUGGUAUUCCGGGGGGCAUGCCUGUCCGAGCGUCAUUGCUGCCCUCAAGCACGGCUUGUGUGUUGGGCCCCGCCCCCCGGCUCCCGGGGGGCGGGCCCGAAAGGCAGCGGCGGCACCGCGUCCGGUCCUCGAGCGUAUGGGGCUUCGUCACCCGCUCCGUAGGCCCGGCCGGCGCCCGCCGGCGACCCCCCUCAAUCUUUUCAGGUUGACCUCGGAUCAGGUAGGGAUACCCGCUGAACUUAAGCAUAUCAAUAAGCGGAGGA
rnacentral:misc_RNA from 1 species